UCAGGAGAGAAAAUUCCGAUGGCAGUUGAGA
rnacentral:piRNA from 2 species